UAUGAGGAGGAAUAAACACAUAGAUCAAUGGAGCAGAAGAGAGAAGUCAGAAAGACUGAGACUGAGACAGCUGCUUUGGAAUGAAUGAGAAUUUUGGAAAGGAACAUAGUCCUAGGAAGCUAUCUGGAUUUUAUACCCUUCUACUAGACAGGAGAGGCUUUACAGCAUGAGUCAAGGGAAAAUCUGCUUCCUUGAGCAGACAGAUGGAAGCACCGUAGAAUUACUAGAGGUACCUAAGAAAGGAAAUAGUACCUGAGCCAUGCAAAAUGCUCACUCUCUAGUCCCUAUCUUUCCAGCAAUGUGCAGGUGCAGUGACCAGAUUUUGUAAACCAAAAAUUGGGAUAGAAGGUCUGAUAAAACAUUAUUAUUAUUAUUAUUAUUAUUAUUAUUUAAAAAUUCAAACAUGUAUUAAUUCUUUUCUGAAUAAAAAAGCAACACAUGCUCAUGGUAGAAAUUUUGAAAAAUA